GUUGCCCAAAGGCCUAAGCUUUAGUUCAUGUUUAUGCUCCUCGUUUAUAGAGAAGUAGAGACGAGGGAGAGUCUUUUAAGUUUAUCUAAUUAAGCAGGGGAGGUGUAAGCAACGAUAAAGAUGGUGGAAACAGCUAACAGCCACCAGCCACCUCCAUUUCAAGCCGCCCCCCCACCACCUCCAUCUCUUGCCGUUUCAAGGGG
rnacentral:misc_RNA from 1 species